UUUUAAGGAAACUUUUUAAUGAAGUAUUUCAUUUUUAAUGAAAAAAAGGAUAACUCCCCUCUUGGUGU
rnacentral:tRNA from 1 species